UACGGGGGGGGCAAGCGUUGUUCGGAAUUACUGGGCGUAAAGGGCUCGUAGGCGGCCAACUAAGCCAUACGUGAAAUCCCUCGGCUUAACCGGGGAACUGCGUCUGAUACUGGAUGGCUUGAGUUCGGGAGAGGGAUGCGGAAUUCCAGGUGUAGCGGUGAAAUGCGUAGAUAUCUGGAGGAACACCGGUGGCGAAGGCGGCAUCCUGGACCGAUACUGACGCUGGAGGAGCGAAAGCCAGGGGAGCAAACGGG
rnacentral:rRNA from 1 species